rnacentral:lncRNA from 1 species
CUUCGGCCCGUUAGAUUGGCCAGAUGCUUUUUCCCCUAAUGCUUUGCGCGGCCGGCCUGUGGGUCCCUGAGUGGGAGAGUGGGUGGCAGGCGCGGAGAAGCUGCUGCAGGUGGUGGGCGAGCGGCCCGGGCUGGGGCGACGCUCCGAGGGCGGGAGAGGGUCUGACUGCGGGCUCACCUGCUCUUGCGGGAAGGAAGUAGUACCUGGGGAGCGAGGUGUCUCCUCAUAUACUGCUUACAGCUAUCCUGUGAGGUCGACAUGACAGGCACGAGGCCUGAUGCAUGGACAAGUGACUUUCUGGGAUCACGAAGCUGGCCUAGGGACCUUUCCUUAGUGCAUUGUCUCUGGCCAGCCAGACUGCAUCGGUCUGAGAACGAGUUGACCAGAGAGACAACCCACUGCUAUGCAAGACCCGCGGAAAAAUGUUUAAAGUGCCUGAUUUUGUUGCCAACCUUUAAAAAUUCUGAACAAAGGACAAAGACUUUCAAUUUCCUACUCUUCUUGAAGCACCAAAACCAUCCAGCAACGCUUGUGCUGUUCCUCUCACAGCCAAGACACUGCUGCCCCCUACAGGUGCUGUGGACUGGUUCAAAAGAGGUUAUCUCCAUACUUCUCAGAAUGGUUCUUAAAGUAUGAAAGUGGAUUACAUGCUCAGCAACACCAGCCAAGAAGUGAAAGUAUGGUCACCUGACUUUGGCUGGUGUGUGCCACAGGACUUCCUUCCUGCAGAUGUCAUAAUCAUGCCUUGCUCCAAAGGGAGUCAUUUCUUAUUUUCCACAACAAUCCGGCAGGAUCUGGGAUGGUAAUCCAGGAGGUGGGAAGGUGAGAAGAAUGUUAUUUUCUUCCUCCCACCUCUCGUAAACUAUCAGGGUGUCAUGGCAGCUCUGGCCCGGGCCAUUUUUCAGAGUGGAAGUUUUUAUCAUUUUGCACUGAGAUCAUAAACUGAGCCUGUCUGUCCCUCUGUUUAGACAUCUCCCCUCCAGGC